AAAGCUUUAAGUUAAUUAAACUAUUAACCUUCAAAGUUAAAAUUAUAGGCCUCUCUGUAAGCUUUA
rnacentral:tRNA from 1 species